UUAAUACUCCCUCCGUCCUAAAAUACUUGUCGGGGAAAUGGAUGUAUCUAAAGUAUUUUAGUUAUAGAUACAUCCAAUUUUAUCCAUCUCUCAGACGAGUAUUUCGGGACGGAUGGAGUAUUUG
rfam:Triticum aestivum genome assembly, contig: Triticum_aestivum_CS42_TGACv1_scaffold_404933_5BL